CGGGAGGCUGCAGUAGGGAAUCUUCCACAAUGGGCGAAAGCCUGAUGGAGCAACGCCGCGUGUGUGAUGAAGGCUUUAGGGUCGUAAAGCACUGUUGUAUGGGAAGAAAUGCUAGAAUAGGGAAUGAUUCUAGUUCGACGGUACCAUACCAGAAAGGGACGGCUAAAUACGUGCCAGCAGCCGCGGUAAUACGUAUGUCCCGAGCGUUAUCCGGAUUUAUUGGGCGUAAAGCGAGCGCAGACGGUUGAUUAAGUCUGAUGUGAAAGCCCGGAGCUCAACUCCGGAAUGGCAUUGGAAACUGGUUAACUUGAGUGUUGUAGAGGUAAGUGGAACUCCAUGUGUAGCGGUGGAAUGCGUAGAUAUAUGGAAGAACACCAGUGGCGAAGGCGGCUUACUGGACAACAACUGACGUUGAGGCUCGAAAGUGUGGGUAGCAAACAGGAUUAGAUACCCUGGUAGUCCACACCGUAAACGAUGAAUACUAGGUGUUAGGAGGUUUCCGCCUCUUAGUGCCGAAGCUAACGCAUUAAGUAUUCCGCCUGGGGAGUACGACCGCAAGGUUGAAACUCAAAGGAAUUGACGGGGACCCGCACAAGCGGUGGAGCAUGUGGUUUAAUUCGAAGCAACGCGAAGAACCUUACCAGGUCUUGACAUCCUUUGAAGCUUUUAGAGAUAGAAGUGUUCUCUUCGGAGACAAAGUGACAGGUGGUGCAUGGUCGUCGUCAGCUCGUGUCGUGAGAUGUUGGGUUAAGUCCCGCAACGAGCGCAACCCUUAUUGUUAGUUGCCAGCAUUCAGUUGGGCACUCUAGCGAGACUGCCGGUGACAAACCGGAGGAAGGCGGGGACGACGUCAGAUCAUCAUGCCCCUUAUGACCUGGGCUACACACGUGCUACAAUGGCGUAUACAACGAGUUGCCAACCCGCGAGGGUGAGCUAAUCUCUUAAAGUACGUCUCAGUUCGGACUGCAGUCUGCAACUCGACUGCACGAAGUCGGAAUCGCUAGUAAUCGCGGAUCAGCACGCCGCGGUGAAUACGUUCCCGGGUCUUGUACACACCGCCCGUCACACCAUGGGAGUUUGUAAUGCCCAAAGCCGGUGCCUAA
rnacentral:rRNA from 1 species